rnacentral:rRNA from 1 species
CAUCUUUUCUCGUUAGUUUUUGAAGUAUGGCCUGCCCGCUGACUUUGGUGUUGAAGGGCCGCGGUAUUUUGACCGUGCAAAGGUAGCAUAGUCAUUAGUUCUUUAAUUGUGAUCUGGUAUGAAUGGCUUGACGAGGCAUGGGCUGUCUUAAUUUUGAAUUGUUUAUUGAAUUUGGUCUUUGGGUUAAAAUUCUUAGAUGUUUUUAUGGGACGAGAAGACCCUAUAGAGUUUAACAUUUGUUAUGGUCCCUUUAUGUUUGUGAGGGUUCAUUGGGCCGUUAAAUAUGUUUUGUUGGGGUGAUGGGAGGGAUUAUUUAACCCCUCCUUUUGUUAUUAUAUUUAUUUAUAUUUACUUGAUCCAUUUAUUUUGAUUGUAAGAUUAAAUUACC